rnacentral:rRNA from 1 species
CAAAGGGAAAACCUUUUAAAUCUAGCUCGGUAAAAGAGAAAAGAUUAAAAGGCGUCCAAAAAAGAAGCCCAAAGUGU